GACGAACGCUGGCGGCGUGCUUAACACAUGCAAGUCGAACGGAAAGGCCCUGCUUUUGUGGGGUGCUCGAGUGGCGAACGGGUGAGUAACACGUGAGUAACCUGCCCUUGACUUUGGGAUAACUUCAGGAAACUGGGGCUAAUACCGGAUAGGAGCUCCUGCUGCAUGGUGGGGGUUGGAAAGUUUCGGCGGUUGGGGAUGGACUCGCGGCUUAUCAGCUUGUUGGUGGGGUAGUGGCUUACCAAGGCUUUGACGGGUAGCCGGCCUGAGAGGGUGACCGGCCACAUUGGGACUGAGAUACGGCCCAGACUCAUACGGGAGGCAGCAGUGGGGAAUAUUGCACAAUGGGCGGAAGCCUGAUGCAGCAACGCAGCGUGCGGGAUGACGGACUUCGGGUUGUAAACCGCUUUCGCCUGUGACGAAGCGUGAGUGACGGUAAUGGGUAAAGAAGCACCGGCUAACUACGUG
rnacentral:rRNA from 1 species